UUUCCCAACCAUGCCACCCUGAACAAGCUCUAUCCCAUCUCAAAGCUAAGCAGGGUCAGGCCUGGUUAGUACUUGGAUGUGAGAUCACUUAGGGAAGACCAGGUGCUGUAGGCG
rnacentral:rRNA from 1 species